rnacentral:rRNA from 1 species
UUGGGCGCAGCUGAUGCAGCCAUGCCGCGUGACUGAUGAAGGCCUUCGGGUUGUAAAGCUCUUUUGUCCGGGAAGA